UGUUGUUUCUCUAAAAAAAAUGGUUGUAGCCUGGUUGUAGUUUGCCUCAUUGCGUACUUUUAAGCGGAAAACUGUUAAGCUGCCAUAGAAACAAUGAAGUUCUCUUAUUCCUGUUACACUGACCCAUGGUGGUAAAGGUCUGGGACAGUCCAGCCAUCUGAGGUGAGGAGGAAGGAGCAGCGGUGGUGAGGGAGUGUCAUCAAGGAUGUGUGGAAUCUGCAGAGAUGUUAGCUGCCCGUUUCCUAACCCUAGCCUUGUUCAAGUCCUGGAAAGAGGAAAGAUGAGUCCCGAUGAUCCUCUCUGCAGACUUAACUGAAGGCAAAGCUGAUGUCUAGAAACAGGAUCCUGGCAUACAUCCCUGGGUGGACGGAGUGGUGCAGCAUGAAGUGUAGUCCCAGACUGACUGCCUCAUCUGCCAACCUGUUUAACCAUGAAAUUCAAGAUGCAAGAAGUUGGCAGAUCAGACCCUUGGAAAGAAAUUAAACUGAAAAGAAAAUAUGAUCUCCCCAAAGGAUGCACAAUGGGUUUUGCAUGCUCUUAUCAUCAAACAAUGUCAUGCUACAAUGUGGCAAGUUCAAGACUCAUGUUGCUGCUCCCAGACAGAGCAAAUCAGCAGCUGAAGAGUGAAGAACUAUUCAAGCAGAAGGAACAUGUACUUACACACACACACACACACAGAGCUAUAUAAGCAGAAACAUUUUAUAUGUGAACUAUGCAUCACAGAAAGAUGGUCAUCAUUAUCUGCUACUUAACAGCGUAAGUAGACUCUCCAUUACAGAUAUAUUUAAUAAUCAGUGAUCAAUGAUCAAGACAUGAAAGAAACUGGAGAAAAAUAAAUUUUAUUA